GCUGCGAGGGACGGAGAGAUGGAGAGUAAAGUGACACAGCGUUGACCAGCGGGCUGAAUAAGUACCAAAGUACCACCAGCCCAGUUCAUCCAGCUGAAGACCACCACUGGGCUAUUUUCUCAUCUUUGAUAUGAUUAAAUGACUGUCUGUAGUUAUUCCACUGCUGGAUGCUUUUGGAGCCUCAACAAAGACGUUUCGUCUUGUCUUUUUAUAACUAAAGUGUUGUUGUGUGCAUUGAGGAUAAUGGAUCAUCUUUAGAAGAUGUAUGACGUCCCCUCUGGGUCAUCUUUGGUCUCACUUAGCUGAUCAUGACAUCAAUCCCUAAGUGUAAUCGUCGACCUCAAACACUGAAGGAUGAACGCUGUGAGAGUCCAUUAUGGCCGACUGCAGAGGAUGUGAGGUUAAGUAGUGCCAGCGGACGCAAAGAGAGGAAGGAGUGAGGCCAACACGCAUCUGACAGCUGGUACGAGUGAUUAGACAAUGUAGUGAUACAGGGAAGGCUUCAAAGCUCUUUAGGGAGAAUCCCUAACAGGGAGGAGGCAAGGACACACACACACACAUACAUCCUUGUACUUUUAUCUUUGUGAGGACCGUCCUCACUUUCCAAAAAUGUCCUCACUUUGUAGGUAAAAAACAUGUUUCAGUCCUUACUAUGUAGCAAGUUCAAGUACACACACACACACACACAAUCCUGAUACACAACUUCUUGGUUACUAAAACUGCCUUUAAACUGAGCACACAGGUCUAACAGCGUAUAGGCUGUACAGGCCAUCUGUCAUUCUCAGAUGCAUCACCAACCAAUGGAUUAUCAGCAGCUCUGCCCCAGGAGACAGACACACAAACAAUCCCCCCUUCGACUGUGGGCUACUGGUAAUACAGGAGAAUGAGUUGUAUCAUUAGAUUGGGUGUGGAGAUUAAUGCAUCUCAUUUAUCUCUUACUCUAAUGGCUGUUCAAUUGCUAUUGUCUCAACUGUUCCUUUGUAUUGUAUAUUAUUGUGCUACUUACAUUGUGUUACAUUAAAGGGUUUUUACACUCAACAUCUCAACAGCAUAGUGUCAAUUUAUUAAGCUUAUAGAAGAUUAGCUCAUAAAACAGAGAGCAUGUGACUGCCACCUGAUGAGACACUGAUGAUUCAUCAUUGUCACUGCGGUAAGAAAAGAGUCAGGGAAUGAGACGUUUGAGGUAAAUUAGUAAAAUAAUGUUUCCAUUAUCAGAAAGAAUAAGGAGGAGAAGUUGUUCCCCCGGCAGCAUCGUAACUCACCUUUAAUCUGCUGCCCCAAAGAAACAGUGCACUGUUGAAUAAGGAUCUUCAGGCCAUGCCAUAGUGUACAUACAUACAUACACACACACACACACAGGAUUACAGUAAUCCAGGGACAGAGGGAUAUUUUUAGGACUUCAUGAUCAGAGACAGACAGGAUGCAACAAUUGAGGAAAAGAGAUAAUGAUUGUCAUAUGACCAGCUGAAUCUUCUUCAGUUAAUUAUGUAAUGUCUGAGCCAAAACUAAUUCUUACCGCUAGUUCAGCAAGUAAAGCUACUGGAAGUAUCAGAGGAUUUUUGUGAACUUUGUGAAAAUAGAACUUUGCCGCAAAGCUAAUUGAAACUUAAUAAAAAGAAAUAUGUUGCUCAGAAUAUUUUUUUUAUGCUCAGUGUAUCCUCUAUCCAGUUAAUAACUAAAUUAAAAUAAAUAUUAUAUGCAGUGGCUUUUCAUAUAACCAUGGCUGUAAAUACGCUACCUGAAAUAAAUAAUAAUAAUAAUAAUAAAUUUAAAAAAAAAAGAAAAAAAAAAAAGGUAUUUAUCAGACAAAUGGAACUAAUAAUGUAUAGUUUUUGCAGAGACAGAGGACACCACAUGUAACAAAAUAAGGCUGGAGAGUGACAUAAUUUACAGAUAUACUGUAUGUUUUUAAAAAGGCAUUGUCUCACAAGAGGAACAAAUUACAGGGGAUGAAAAUAGAUUGAUAAUAUUAUGGAGCACUAACACUAUCAUUAGCUGACAGUGAAAUGGAUAGAGGAAACCAAAACACGUAUCAGCUUCAUCCUUUUGUCUUCACACACUGCAACCUUUAACCUUGUGUUUUGGUAUUUCUGGUUGUUUUGAUUUGAAGAUGGAGAGAAAAAGUGAGAAUAAAAACUGAGGCCAGAUGACCGGAUUGUGUUGAGUUCAUGUUCUGUAGGUCUGAUGGAAGACAGUAAACAAAGGCAGAGAGAAACGUUAAGCAACAGUGUGGGGAUGACCAUCAGAGUGUACAGACUGCAUAAAUUAUAUUUAAAAAUCGGUCACAGCAUGUAGC